rnacentral:rRNA from 1 species
AGAGUUUGAUCCUGGCUCAGAACGAACGUUAGCGGCGCGCUUAACACAUGCAAGUCGAGCGAGAAAGGGAGCAUCCCCGUACAGCGGCGCACGGGUGAGUAACACGUAGGUAUCUGCUUUCGAGUGGGGGAUAACCUUCCGAAAGGAGGGCUAAUACCGCAUAAAGACCACGCCUUCGAGAGGGGGAGAGGUCAAAGCCGGCCACUAUACAUAAGCUGGCGCUUGGAGAUGAGCCUGCGGCCCAUCAGCUAGUUGGUAGGGUAAUGGCCUACCAAGGCUAAGACGGGUAGCUGGUCUGAGAGGAUGAUCGGCCACACUGAACUGAGACACGGUCCAGACUCCUACGGGAGGCAGCAGUGGGGAAUCUUGCGCAAUGGGCGAAAGCCUGACGCAGCGACGCCGCGUGGGUGAUGAAGGCCUUCGGGUUGUAAAGCCCUGUGGAGGGGGACGAAUAAGUCAUGGCUAAUAUCCAUGGUGAUGACGGUACCCCUUUAGCAAGCACCGGCUAACUCUGUGCCAGCAGCCGCGGUAAGACAGAGGGUGCAAACGUUGUUCGGAAUUACUGGGCGUAAAGCGCGUGUAGGCAGCUUGGCAAGUCGGGUGUGAAAGCCCUGGGCUCAACCUAGGAAGUGCACUCGAAACUGCUUCGCUUGAGUAUCGGAGAGGAAAGCGGAAUUCUCGGUGUAGAGGUGAAAUUCGUAGAUAUCGAGAGGAACACCAGUGGCGAAGGCGGCUUUCUGGACGAUUACUGACGCUGAGACGCGAAAGCGUGGGGAGCAAACAGGAUUAGAUACCCUGGUAGUCCACGCCGUAAACGAUGGGUGCUAGGUGUCGCGGGCUUUGACUCCUGCGGUGCCGUAGCUAACGCAUUAAGCACCCCGCCUGGGGAGUACGGCCGCAAGGCUAAAACUCAAAUGAAUUGACGG